rnacentral:lncRNA from 1 species
GUACUACUUGAACAAAGCCAAAAUUUGUAGAGCUAUUUGAGGGAACUAGAAGCUUCCAUAAAGAUCUUCAGAUGAAGACUGAGAUCUUUAAAACUUUAGUUUAAAAAAUGCAGAGACAACAGUCAAUACCUGAAUCAAGAAGCAGACACCACAGUACAAACAAAACGGCAUGAUGACAAAGAUAUUGACCGCACCAACAGCAAGGCUGUUUCCUUACCUCCCUGGUUAUGGUCAUCAGUUGCUUCU